UAGCCCGUCAGACAAAGAUUCUAUCUUUUUGCUUGCACCUUCCUACCAAACAGUUAGACAAGACGACGCUGCUCGUUCAAGAUUCACUACGAUCCAUCACGAGCCCUGAAUCACUCGUCAAUCUUACUCGGGAUUUAGUUUUUCUCGACGCGAUUUCUUUUGCAAGAUCUGGCGCCGAUUGGAUUGGAUCUGAAUCGAGAUAGCCGAGUAAUGAUUGACGAGAGCCCCUUCAUGGGUCGUGUUCUUCAAGAUUCAAAUUUUCGAUUCUUGCCUUGCCUCGGUCUCGGAUCGCAGGAGCAUUGCCUUGUCUAUGUUGCAUAAAGUAAACAUUGAAACGAGGGGAGGAGAGAUUGGAUGGGUGACGUAUUAAUUUAGCAUGAAAGCAAUUCCGGCAAUUUCUGUACAUUUUGAUGCAGUUGAAAAUCAUUCAGUUGGAAAAGAUGCAACUUUAAGAAAUUCGUUUGGAGAAACGAGGGAAUCACUUCCCCAAGUGCUGCAACUGGCCAGCCUCCUUCAUUUACAUCGAAAGAUGGCUUAUAGGGGAAUGGUUAGCAUGAAAAUUACUUUGGUAAUACAUUUCAUCACAUAGCAACAAACCGUCAGAAGUUGGAACCGAUCCUGAUUGGUUUUAAUGGUGCUUAUGUGUUGAUUUGUAGGAGCACUGUGUCAAGCUCAUAUAUAUCUUAAUCCUGAAGCUAAGUGAGCUCCUAUAAUGCAGUAAAAUAUUCGAAAGAAUAAGAAUUGAGCAUAGAUAAAGAGCACUUUUGAUUACUUCAGUCCUGCUAAAAAUUUUACUAGCACUCCUAAUAGAUAAGUACUAUUGUAAGUGGAAGUUUAACUGGAAGUAAUGCAUGAGGGAGCUGAAGACCUUGCUUUUAGCUAUGGACCUUUAGGGAAUGACUUUUGACUGGUUUGUGUUAUCGUAGGGUCGGAAGAAG